rnacentral:rRNA from 1 species
UAGGGAAUAUUGCACAAUGGAGGAAACUCUGAUGCAGCCAUGCCGCGUGUGUGAAGAAGGCCUUCGGGUUGUAAAGCACUUUCGGAGGGGAGGAAAAAAUAGACGUUACCCUCAGAAGAAGCACCGGCUAAAUACGUGCCAGCAGCCGCGGUAAUACGUAUGGUGCAAGCGUUAUCCGGAUUUACUGGGUGUAAAGGGAGCGCAGGCGGUGCGGCAAGUCUGAUGUGAAAGCCCGGGGCUCAACCCCGGUACUGCAUUGGAAACUGUCGUACUAGAGUGUCGGAGGGGUAAGCGGAAUUCCUAGUGUAGCGGUGAAAUGCGUAGAUAUUAGGAGGAACACCAGUGGCGAAGGCGGCCUGCUGGACAUUAACUGACGCUGAGGAGCGAAAGCGUGGGGAGCAAACAGGAUUAGAUACCCUGGUAGU